AGAGUUUGAUCCUGGCUCAGGAUGAACGCUGGCGGCGUGCCUAAUACAUGCAAGUCGAACGGAGGGUAGCAAUACUCUUAGUGGCGAACGGGUGAGUAACGCGUUGGUGACCUGCCCCGAAGUGUGGGAUAACAGUCCGAAAGGAUUGCUAAUACCACAUGUGAUCCCCGGUUUUAGAAUCUGGUGAUUAAAGCAGUAAUGCGCUUCGGGAGGGACCUGCUUCCCAUCAGCUAGUUGGUGAGGUAAUGGCCCACCAAGGCUACGACGGGUAAGGGACCUGAGAGGGUGGUCCCUCGCAAUGGCACUGAAACACGGGCCAUACACCUACGGGUGGCAGCAGUAGGGAAUAUUGGGCAAUGGGCGAAAGCCUGACCCAGCAACGCCGCGUGCACGAUGAAGGCCUUCGGGUCGUAAAGUGCUUUUCUGAGGAAUGAGUAAGGACAGUACCUCAGGAAUAAGCCUCGGCUAACUACGUGCCAGCAGCCGCGGUAAAACGUAGGAGGCAAGCGUUAUCCGGAUUUACUGGGCGUAAAGCGUGUGCAGGCGGUUCGGCAAGUUGGAUGUGAAAGCUCCUGGCUUAACUAGGAGAGGUCGUUCAAUACUACCGAACUUGAAGGCAUCAGAGGAAGAUGGAAUUCCCGGUGUAGUGGUGAAAUGCGUAGAUAUCGGGAGGAACACCAGUGGCGAAGGCGGUCUUCUGGGAUGUUCUUGACGCUCAUACACGAAAGCUAGGGUAGCGAACGGGAUUAGAGACCCCGGUAGUCCUAGCAGUAAACGAUGUAGACUUGGUGUCGGAGGUGUCAAAACCUUCGGUAUCGUAGCUAACGCGAUAAGUCUACCGCCUGGGACUACGGCCGCAAGGUUAAAACUUAAAGGAAUUGACGG
rnacentral:rRNA from 1 species